UGAACACUGAAAACAAUAUUUAAAUUUUUAAACGGAUUCAAAGUUGGAAUACAUUUUACUUUUUGAGUUUAGUCUAAUAAUUUGCUAUAUUCUUUAAUCUUUUCUUUAAAUAGUAUUUGUGUAUUUCCAAUGAGUAUUUAAUAGAACAUAUGAAAUAUACAUUGCAAGUCAUACUGCUGCCUAACAUAUAAAAAAAAAAAGGAAAAUAUAUCAAAAGAACAAUUUAUUAAAUAAAAAUACGAGAAUUAAGUACUCAAUUUAGCAAAUAAUGUGUAAUGUAUGUUAAUUAUUUGAGUUUCAAGUAAAUUUUUGCUGUUCAUAUGUCCAAUGAAAUGGUCAUUUAUUUCUGUUAAAUAACUCAUUUAACUAUGGUUGUAUAUAUUAUAUUAAAAAUCAAAACAUAUUGUAAAAUUAAUUCAUGUAUUAAAGUAUCUAAAUAUUAUUAUUUUAAACUAUUGUACAUAUUUUAAACAAAUUCUUUAUUCAAUUUUUUAGUAAAAAUGUAAUUAAUAUUCUAUAGUUAAUAUUUAUAUUACUAAUGUCAACAUUUAAGUUAAUUUAUAAAAUAUAUCAUUAUAUUUUAUAUUCUUUGACUUAUUUAAGACUAUACAGUACACAGAUUUUACCACCAUAAAAACAUUUUAAUUUAAGCAAAAUCUACUCCAUACUCCCAAUUUAUAAUGUUUAUUUAUAUACUAUAUGCUAU